rnacentral:misc_RNA from 1 species
GUGCCCUCGUGCGGGCACACAGGGCAGCGUGCUAGGGAGGGCAGCGAGCUGACAACGAAGACAGGCGAAAAGGCGAAGGGGAGAUCAUCAUUCCACUUCACAUUGAAGGGGUAACAUGCAGUAGCGCUGACGGCCAGCUGGACUUGUUCCUGUUCGAUUGCGUGCCCCUACUGCGCGUGCGCUCACCUCCGUUUUUCCUCUUCCGCCUCGCCACUAUACGCACUUGCGAAGCGCACGUCUUCGUUGCUCCAUGGGCAGUGGCGUAAGCCCCUGAGCACAAGGUGGUGCACUCCGCGCACCCACACACACCGGCGAUGCACAUAACCACAGCGAGGCAGCCUGCCACAGACGCUCACAUAAAUGCCAGCCUGCAGUCUUGCUGAGGCGUUGUGCGGAAGGCGCUGAAUGCUAUGGAAAAGAGCAACGGCGGCGUGUGUGUGUGGAGGGGGGAGGGCGGAGCACCGUGAGGCCUCUCGGCCUCGUUUCGUCAGCCUCGGCUGGAGAUACCGGAAGGCCAGGGCGAGACGGGAAGGGGCAUGUGAGUGCGUUGAUGGGGCGGCGAGGCGUUAUCAUCCCGCUUUUUCUCAUGUUUGAGCUGUACGAAAGGACCGUAGUGUUUCUUCUGCCUCCCUCUCCCACUUCAGUGUCUGCGCUGCUGCGCGACAUGAAAGCGCUGAGUCCAUUCUCUCGCUACCUUCUUCCGUUGCUUGUUUUCGCUUUGUGUUGCUCAUUUCUUUACCUUUCUCCUGUGCGCGUGCGUGUGUUGCUCGCCAGGAGGGAAGGGUGUGUGAAGAAGCGGAGCCGACUCUCGUCCUCGUUUAGUGUGGCAAGGC